rnacentral:rRNA from 1 species
ACCGGCAAACGGGUGCGGAACACGUACAGAAUCUACCUUUAUCAGGGGGAUAGCCCGGUGAAAACCGGAUUAAUACCCCAUAAUAUUAUUAAGUGGCAUCAUUUAGAUAAUUAAAGAUCCGUCGGAUAAAGAUGACUGUGCGUACUAUUAGGUAGUUGGUAGGGUAAAGGCCUACCAAGCCUACGAUAGUUAGCUGAUGUGAGAGCAUGAUCAGCCACACGGGCACUGAGACACGGGCCCGACUCCUACGGGAGGCAGCAGUGAGGAAUAUUGGUCAAUGGGCGCAAGCCUGAACCAGCCAUGCCGCGUGAAGGAUGAAGGCGUUCUGCGUCGUAAACUUCUUUUAUCUGGGAAGAAACCUGCGUACUCUUAUGCAGCCGACGGUACCAGAGGAAUAAGCACCGGCUAACUCCGUGCCAGCAGCCGCGGUAAUACGGAGGGUGCGAGCGUUAUCCGGAUUUACUGGGUUUAAAGGGUGUGUAGGCGGACUGUUAAGUCAGUGGUGAAAUCCCGGGGCUCAACCCCGGAACUGCCAUUGAUACUAUCAGCCUUGAAUACUGUGGAGGUGAGCGGAAUGUGUCAUGUAGCGGUGAAAUGCAUAGAGAUGACACAGAACACCGAUUGCGAAGGCAGCUCACUACGCAGUGAUUGACGCUGAGGCACGAAAGCGUGGGGAUCAAACAGGAUUAGAUACCCUGAUAGUCCACGCCCU